rnacentral:rRNA from 1 species
AUGGAGGCCACCAUGCUAGCCCGCAGCUUCAUUGUUGCACCCCGCAACCCGCCGCACGUCCAGCAUUCUCCACGGGCCGACCACCACAAGGCUCCGUCUCCGCGCCUCCGCCCUCCAUCUUCCUCAGGCUCCUUCAACCCCGCCCCUUCUGCAUCUUCGAGGCCAUCGGCCCUUCAGCCGCGAUGCCCGACUCCCUCACCUAGAUCCACCCACGUAUCUCGCCGGCGCUCCCUGCCGCCGUCGUCUUCAUCGGUUCCCGACAAGGAGGGCACUCCUCCUGUUUGUCUCGAGGGCCUAGUGCCUGCCCAACCUUGCGUUACCUCCUUGCUUUGCAGCAUCGCAGCCUCUUCUGCUUCGGGGCAUGUGCAGCACUGCGUUGACUUCCCCGGCAUCUUCCGCCGCUGCUCGCGCACCGCCCUACCUUGCUGCUGCCCACCAGAGGCCCUUUUGUCUCGCUUCGUUUUGGAUCGGCAAGAACGAGAGACCAAGACCCGUACCCAGACUGUCAAGCAUCCCCCGAGAUUUUUUGCCAAGUACCUCUCGGAUCCGACAAGUACCCCGAUGACGUGUGUACCACUACCGUCGACCCCCGAACACCCCAUGGACGUCAAGUUCCUUACUACGACCCUGAACAUCUAUGGAAUGUGCAUGACUACGAAACGUGUACCACUACUUCCACUACCGUUGACGUGUAUCACUACUUUCACUACGACCGUCCUAAGAACGUCUACUUCCUCUACAGCGCAACAUACUCGAACCACCUCGAAUGCAUGUUUCAAAGGUAUAACCGUCAAGACGAUGACCCAUGGACGAAUCCACUUGUUUUCACUGUGCCCAUUUGUUUCGUGCACAUUCCUAUUUUUCCAUGCCACCAACAAGUGGGAACGUGGUAACCAGGAUCGCCCCCACCAUCUUUGCAUGACACGCUCACGUCACACUUCCUUUUGUAGUGGUAUCUCCAUGAGCUACCGGAACCGAUAUGUUGUCGUGGCAUCAUUUUUGUAUUCGUCGCUGUGGAACCCUCUCUUUCCACGACGGCGACAAAUGCUUCAUAACAUGCUCAUGUCAACAUUUUCUUAA